GAUGAAGAACGUAGCGAAAUGCGAUAAGUAAUGUGAAUUGCAGAAUUCAGUGAAUCAUCGAAUCUUUGAACGCACCUUGCACCCUUUGGUAUUCCGAAGGGUAUGCUCGUUUGAGUGUCAUUGUACUCUCACACUUCUAAUUCCUUUCGGGAUUGGGAGCGGUGGACUUGGGUGUUGCUGCUUUAGUUGUGGCUCACCUCAAAUAAGUUAGUGCAACUCUUGGUUGGACAUAGUACGGCGUGAUAAGUGUCUUCGCCGGCGCCUCUGUAAGGAGGGUGGCCGAUCGGGAGCUCUGUGCUGCAAACCGUCUUCGGACAAUCUUUGACAACUUGACCUCAAAUCGAGUAGGACUACCCGCUGAACUUAAGCAUAUCAAUAAGCGGAGGA
rnacentral:misc_RNA from 1 species